GACAGAGGCCUCAAGCGUUAGGCGGAAUCACUGGGCUUAAAGCGUGUGUAGGCGGAUCGUUAAGUGUCUUGUGAAAUCCCACGGCUCACCCGUGGAACGGCUGGGCAUACUGGCGAUCUUGGGCCAACUAGGGGCAACUGGAACAAGCGGUGGAGCGGUGAAAUGCGUAGAUAUCGCUUGGAACGCCAAAGGUGAAAACAGGUUGCUGGGAAUGUGCCGACGCUGAGACACGAAAGCCAGGGGAGCAAACGGG
rnacentral:rRNA from 1 species